AUCGCUUCUCGGCCUUUUGGCUAAGAUCAAGUGUAGUAUCUGUUCUUAUCAGUUUAAUAUCUGAUACGUCCUCUAUCCGAGGACAAAAAAAUAAAUAAAAUAAAAUAAAAGUCAUUUUCCUUUUAAGUUACUGAGAAGAUACUGUUUUUUGCAGUGAGAACCUU
rnacentral:snRNA from 1 species